GUUAAGCGACUAAGCGUACACGGUGGAUGCCCUGGCAGUCAGAGGCGAUGAAGGACGUGCUAAUCUGCGAUAAGCGUCGGUAAGGUGAUAUGAACCGUUAUAACCGGCGAUUUCCGAAUGGGGAAACCCAGUGUGAUUCGUCACACUAUCAUUACGUGAAUACAUAGCGUAAUGAAGCGAACCGGGGGAACUGAAACAUCUAAGUACCCCGAGGAAAAGAAAUCAACCGAGAUUCCCCCAGUAGCGGCGAGCGAACGGGGAGCAGCCCAGAGUCUGAAUCAGCUUGUGUGUUAGUGGAACGGUCUGGAAAGUCCGACGGUACAGGGUGAUAGUCCCGUACACCAAAAUGCACAGGUUGUGAACUCGAAGAGUAGGGCGGGACACGUGGUAUCCUGUCUGAAUAUGGGGGGACCAUCCUCCAAGGCUAAAUACUCCUGACUGACCGAUAGUGAACCAGUACCGUGAGGGAAAGGCGAAAAGAACCCCGGCGAGGGGAGUGAAAAAGAACCUGAAACCGUGUACGUACAAGCAGUGGGAGCCUCUUUAUAGGGUGACUGCGUACCUUUUGUAUAAUGGGUCAG
rnacentral:rRNA from 1 species